rnacentral:rRNA from 1 species
AUGGAUUUGUCCUGUUCAUGGAUGAUACGGCCUCUUCUCUUGUCUGUCAAUAAGGAGGGUCCGUGGAGACCACCUCAUCGGCAUCCUUUGUCUCGUGAGUUAGAGGUUGGUGAUCCGCCGCCGCUGCUAUGGAUCCAAGCUCAUGGAGUUCGCCCUGAUUUCCCCAUCGCCCCAAGUAAUGACCUCGCUACAGCCGGGAGGAUGCAGCUCCGCGUUCAGGCUCCUGCUUUUAAUCCCCACGAUGUUCAAGAACAGGGUGACUCGUGCUCCACUUGCAGCGGUGAUAAUCUGUAUCAGUUGGAAGAGGCUAUGAUUAUAAAUUGGGCGCCAUGA